GAGUCUUGUUGGGAAUUGCUGAGACACAAAGUGCCUCUUACCAGAAACUCUGAACCCCAUUAAUCAUUUGUGUUUAAUUCCUCUCUCUAGAGCUGUUGUUGAUAGCCAGCCCCUCCCACCCCACAGAGGGGAGCCCAGUGACCCUGAUGUGUAAGAUGCCCUUUCUACAGAGUUCAGAUGCCCAGUUCCAGUUCUGCUUCUUCAGAGAUGCCCGGGCCUUGGACCCAGGUUGGAGCAGCUCCCCCAAGCUCCAGAUCGCUGCCAUGUGGAAAGAAGACUCAGGGUCAUACUGGUGCGAGGCACAGACAAUGGUGUCCAAAGUCUUGAGGAGCAGGAGAUCCCAGAUAAAUGUGCACAGGGUCCCUGUCGCUGAUGUGAGCUUGGAGACUCAGCCCCCAGGAGGACAAGUGAUGGAGGGAGACAGGCUGGUCCUCAUCUGCUCAGUUGCUAUGGGCACAGGAGACAUCACCUUCCUUUGGUACAAAGGGGCUGUAGGUUUAAACCUUCAGUCAAAGAUCCAGCGUUCACUGACAGCAGAGUAUGAGAUUCCUUCAGCGAGGGAGAGUGAUGCUGAGCAAUAUUACUGUGUAGCUGAAAAUGGCUAUGGUCCCAGCCCCAGUGGGCUGGUAAGCAUCACUGUCAGAAGUAAGUUCCACUACCCUCCAUUCAGCCAGUCAGUCACAAACUGGGCUCCACAUUUCCCUGGGGCACACAAAGUUUCCCUGGGGCAUGCUGAGGAAGUUCAAUGGGGCUGAGCAUCAGUGGGCAGGGAUUAUGAGUUUGCUGCAUUGUCAGAGACUGUCUCUUACACUCUACUAUCUCCCUCAGUCCCGGUGUCUCACCCAAUCCUCAUGCUCAAGGCUCCCAGGGCCCAGGCUGCAGUGGAGGAUGUGCUGGAGCUUCACUGUGAGGCCCUGAGAGGCUCUCCUCCAAUCCUGUACUGGUUUUAUCACGAGGAUAUCACCUUGGGGAGCAGCUCAGCCCCCUCUGGAGGAGGAGCCUCCUUCAACCUUUCCCUGACUGCAGAACAUUCUGGAAACUACUCUUGUGAGGCCAACAAUGGCCUGGGGGCCCAGCGCAGUGAGACAGUGAAACUCAACUUCACAGGAAGACGUUCAGCCAGGGAUCCGCUCAGGAGACUUCCCAGCCCUGUACCCCAAGAGUUCACCUACCUCAACUCACCUACCCCAGGGCAGCUACAGCCUAUAUAUGAAAAUGUGAAUGUUGUAAGUGGGGAUGAGGUUUAUUCAUUGGCGUACUGUAACCAGCCGGAGCAGGAAUCAGUAGCAGAAACCCUAGCGACACAUAUGGAGGACAAGGUUUCUUUAGACAUCUAUUCCAGGCUGAGGAAAGCAAACAUUACAGAUGUGGACUAUGAAGAUGCUAUGUAAGGUUAUGGAAGAUUCUGCUCUUUGAAAACCAUCCAUGACCCCAAGCCUCAGACCUGAUAUGUUCUUCAGAGAUCCUGGGGCAGUAGCUUUCCAGUAUGCCUCUUCUGGAUGCCAUUCUCCAUGGCACUAUUCCUUCAUCUACUGUGAAGUGAAGUUGGCGCAGCCCUGAAGAAACUACCUAGGAGAGAACUAAUAGACACAGGAGUGACAGGGACUGUUAUCAGAACCAGAUUCCUGCUGGCUUCUUUGAAAAUAGGUCAAAUUGUGCUCUUCUGUUUACAAGAGGAAACAAGAUGGAAUCAAAGAAAUUAGGAUCUUGGGGUGGAGGGACAGUGAAGCUUAGAGCACAUGAACUCAAGGUUAAUGACUCUGCAGGACUUCACAGAGAGAGCUGUGCCCAUCAUUCAGUCCAAGUGCUUUCUCUACCCAGACAGCACAGAACUCCAGCCCCGCCACUUACAUGGAUCAUCGAGUUUCCACUUAAAAUAUGAUUCUAUUUAUUUUGAGUCACUGUUACCAAAUUAGAACUAAAACAAAGUUACAUAAAAAGUUAUUGUGACUACACUUAAUUUUAGUGACAUAUUUUUGUAUAUAUAGGCCAACCUAUACCACAUCCAAAAUUAUGUAUCUGUUACAGCCCCUAGAAGCUUUAUGAAUAAAGUAUGUCUUCUUUUAUUCACAAAAUUUUUGAAAUCAUGGUAAUAUGGUUUGAAGUCUGUAUCUUAAUUAUUAUUAUUUUUUUAAGUUGAGACAGGGUCUCACUCUGUCACUCAAUCUGGAAUGCAGUGGCACAAUCUUGCCUCACUGCAACGUCUGCCUCUCAGGCUCAAGCAAACCUGUCACCUCAGCCUGCUGAGUAGCUGGGACUACAGGCACAUGCCACCAAACUUGGCUAUUUUUUGUCUUACGUAGAGACAAGAUUUCACCGUUUUGCCCAGGCUGGUCUCAAACUCCUGGGAUCAAGCAAUGUAUUUAAUUUUAAAACAACCAGUCACUCACUCUUACGAAUUAAUAAACAUUUUGAGUUAUAUAAAGUAAAAAGUUAAAGUCUUUCCUGUAAGUUAACACAAAUGUUAACUACUGUUAAAAACUUUACAGGUAGCUCUCUAGAUAUUUUUCUAUUUUUGUAUACAUACUUAUACAUACAUGUAAGUAUAUAAACAUUUAGAAGUAUAUACCUAUCUAACAAACUAUUGUGAAAUAUUUUCAAAUCUGUAAAUAGAUCUAUUAUACUAUUUUAAAAGUCUCUAUAGUAGUGUGUUAUAUAGAUAAAUCAUAACUUUUUUCUUUUUUAUUGUAGUAAAUAUGCACAACAUAAAAUUGAUCAUUUUAACCAUUUUUAAGUGUACAAUUCAGUGGCAUUAAGUACUAUCAUAAUAUAUUUUAAUCUUUCUCACCACUGGUGGACAUUAAGGAGGCUCUCAAAAAAUUCAUAUUAUAAAAACAAAGUGCAAACAAAUGUCUUUGUACAAGCAUAUUAUGGCACUCCUGCUGGAUUAUCUGAAGAAUAAAUUUGUAAAUCUAGUAUUGCUAGAUUAUGCAUAUUAAAUAUUCUUGUUAAAUAGUC
rnacentral:sRNA from 1 species